GACGAACGCUGGCGGCGUGCUUAACACAUGCAAGUCGAACGGUGAAGGGACCAGCUUGCUGGUUCUGGAUGAGUGGCGAACGGGUGAGUAACACGUGAGUAACCUGCCCCCUUCUUCUGGAUAACCGCAUGAAAGUGUGGCUAAUACGGGAUAUUCUGGGUCUGUCGCAUGGCGGGCCCGGGAAAGAUAUUGCUUCGGUGGGUGAUGGGCUCGCGGCCUAUCAGCUUGUUGGUGGGGUGAUGGCCUACCAAGGCGGUGACGGGUAGCCGGCCUGAGAGGGUGGACGGUCACACUGGGACUGAGACACGGCCCAGACUCCUACGGGAGGCAGCAGUGGGGAAUAUUGCACAAUGGGCGCAAGCCUGAUGCAGCGACGCCGCGUGAGGGAUGGAGGCCUUCGGGUUGUAAACCUCUUUCGCCAGUGAAGCAGGCCUGCUCCUUGUGGGUGGGUUGACGGUAGCUGGAGAAGAAGCGCCGGCUAACUACGUG
rnacentral:rRNA from 1 species